CCGAUCACCGAAGUCAAGCAUCAUCGGGCGCGGUCAGUACUUGGGAGGGUGACCACCUAGGAACACUGCGUGCCGUU